rnacentral:rRNA from 1 species
CCCUAUGGGGUGCAGCAGGCAGAAGAUGGUCUGCAGGGGUUGGAACUGCUUGCGGCCCAUCGUCCCGACCUGAUUUUGGUGGAUCUUCGCAUGCCGCGCAUGGAUGGCUUGCAGGUUCUGGCCAAGGUGCAGGAAGUGGCCCCGGAGAUUCCUAUCAUGGUCGUGUCCGGCGCCGGCGACAUUCGCGACGUGGUGGAGGCCCUGCGCCGGGGGGCGUGGGAUUAUCUGGUCAAGCCAAUCCAGGACAUGAACAUUCUGCUCCAUUCCGUGCAGAAUUGUCUGGAACGCGCCCGGUUGCAGAGUCAGAACCGGGAAUACCAGCAAAGCCUCGAAGAAUCUCUCGACAAACUGCACCGCACCCAAAAGGAGAUGAGCCAUUCGGCCAAGAUGGCUGCUCUGGGAGACUUGGUGGCGGGGGGGC